ensembl:lncRNA
GAAAAUGUUAACUGGCCCACACAGAAAAUCAACUGCUGCAUCAAUCACAAGUUCUGUCUCACACACUGGACCCAGCACAUAACCAUUCCCCUGAUUGAAGGACACAGUGUCAGUGAACGAAGAGAAGGCAUAGAACCAGGACCUACGCACCUGAAAUCCAAAAAGGACCAAAACCAUAGAGCCUGUGACAACUUGAUCCAGCACCAAGAACGAUGUGUGAAGUAUAUUGAAGAUAAAACCCAUGAACAUAAAUAAUGCCUUUUUAAAAAGUAAUGUUAAUUUACAUCAUUUUAAUAAUAUUCCUUCUUUACAGUGCUUUUACCUUCCUAAAUUAAAAUAUUAGUACUUCAUAGUCCUUUUCGUUCCACAAUUACUG